rnacentral:rRNA from 1 species
UACGUAGGGGGCAAGCGUUGUCCGGAAUCAUUGGGCGUAAAGCGCGCGUAGGCGGCCCGGUAAGUCCGCUGUGAAAGUCCAGGGCUCAACCCUGGAACGCCGGUGGAUACUGCCGGGCUAGAGUCCGGAAGAGGCGAGUGGAAUUCCUGGUGUAGCGGUGGAAUGCGCAGAUAUCAGGAGGAACACCAAUAGCGAAGGCAGCUCGCUGGGACGGUACUGACGCUGAGGUGCGAAAGCGUGGGGAGCAAACAGG